rnacentral:rRNA from 1 species
ACCUUUGACAUGUAUGGAAGUUUCCAGAGAUGGAUUCGUGCUCGAAAGAGAGCCAUAACACAGGUGCUGCAUGGCUGUCGUCAGCUCGUGUCGUGAGAUGUUGGGUUAAGUCCCGCAACGAGCGCAACCCUUGUCAUUAGUUGCUACAUUUGGUUGGGCACUCUAAUGAGACUGCCGGUGACAAACCGGAGGAAGUGGGGAUGACGUCAAGUCCUCAUGGCCCUUAUAGGUGGGGCUACACACGUCAUACAAUGGCCGGUACAAAGGGUCGCAAACCCGCGAGGGGGGAGCCAAUCCAUCAAAGCCGGUCGUAGUCCGGAUCGCAGUCUGCAACUCGACUGCGUGAAGUCGGAAUCGCUAGUAAUCGUGGAUCAGCAUGUCACGGUGAAUACGUUCCCGGGUCUU